AGCACUUAUCUCUGAAGUCUCACUUUUUAAAUAUGUUACAAUGAAUUGUGAUCCUGUUUUAUGUAUCUGACUGACAGCACUGGGAAUUAAGUUCCUCAGCCAAUGAAGUAAUAAACCCAAUGCCACGAUAAAACCUAUGGUAGAGACUGAUAAGGACUCCAGAUCCAGGCUGCCAAUACUCUCCAAAGUCAUUCAGCUGUGACUACUACAUGAUGUCUGAGUGUUUCCACAAGGGAGUGAGCAUCAUCAUGAAUGGAAACGCUUUCUCUGAAAAAAGACAUAAAACAAUUGAAAGUCAGCAGUGUCUUUCUUGCAAAAUAUUAUGAAGAUCAGAACAAUUAGAAUUAGGUAUACUCCAACUCCAUUUUAGAAUUUGCAAUAGAGAAGGUGAACAGGAGAGUUACUGUAAAAACUGAGAGAACAAAACAGCCGGAGGCAUGAAAAGAAAAAGAAUCCUGCAUGAAUAGCUUGCUAUAUGUAAUUUGUUUAGGAACAAUUCACAGGUUUUGACAGCUUUAUUAAAGUUCCAUUUUAGUAAGAUUCAGGCGAAAGUGAGGUCAUCACUUUAAAACAAAAAUCCUGAGAACAUACCCAGAUGGACUCACAUAAAUGAUGGAUACUAAUGUCGUCAAGUAAAUAUUUUAAAGAGUUAAUUGCUCUCUUUAUUAAAAACUGGAUUUAAAUACUCCAU
rnacentral:lncRNA from 1 species